GCCAUGUUUUAUUUACAAAAAAGAUAUUGUCCCAUACAUAUGACAAGCCACACAUGUCUAAAAUUGAUUUGACUUGUUUUAACCAUAAAAUAUUUGUACCAUAUUUGGCAGUUGCUAAGUUAUACAAAAUAAAAGGCAAUUUGUCAGGUUUUCCAGUUACCAACUUGAACCAAUAAUUUAUCAUUCGUAACUUGAUUGAAAUAUCUAAUGGAUAUCUUCCCAAUUCACCAUAAAUCAUAAAAUCAGGAGUAGACUUUUUUACUCCAAGUAAUAUUUUACAAAAUUUAAUAUGAACCCUCUCGAUUAUUGAAUUAUUUCCAAAACCCCAAACUUCGCACCCAUACAGAAGUAUUGGUUUCACAAUUUUAUCAAAUAGAUCAAGUUGGCAUUCAAUUGACAGAUUAUGUACUCUACCUUUUUCGAAUAAUAUCGUACAUAGCAUGUGUUGCUUUUUCACAUUGCUUUUUUUUAGCUCUUGAAAAAUUUCCUGACCUAGACAGUAAUACACCAAGAUAAGUAAAUUCACUCACAAUAUCUAGUAUUAUAUUAUCAUACUUAAAAACAAUAUUCUGCGGUAGUCUACCUUGUGAAAAAAUUACAAUCUUACUUUUUUGCACAUUUACUCUAAGUUUCCAUAACUCACAAUAUUCAUAUAAGGAGUCCAGUUGUCUUUGUAAAUCUAUCUGAGAUUCUGCCAUUAAGACAGUAUCGUCAGCAUAUAAAAUGACAAACAAUUUUAAAUAAACAUUUAACUCUAUUUCUAACUCAUCAGAGAUAGUGCACAAACCUUCUAUAUUUUUAUUCUGUAAAAACAAUUCCAGAUCGUUAAGAUAAAUAGAAAAAAGCAAAGGAGAGAGAUUCUCUCCCUGCCUAACACCAAUAGAACAAGGGAAAAAUUCAGAAAAAUCUGAUCCAAAGUGAAUACGUGAUUUGAUAUUAUUGUACAUGUUGACAAUAACGUUAUACAUCUUUCCGUUAAUCGAGUGUUUAAUAAGUUUUGACCAGAGACCAGACCGCCAAACAGUAUCAAAAGCUUUCGCAAAGUCCAC
rnacentral:lncRNA from 1 species